CUGCUUCGCCCUUCUUGGGCGUUUCCUCCCUAAACUCCAAGGCCGCUGUGUUCAGCGGCCUUUUUUCUGCCAGAA
rnacentral:sRNA from 1 species